rnacentral:sRNA from 1 species
GAGAAUUAUCUACUCAAAUAAUUGCUCUAAAAUAUAAUGUUCCUUGUAAAUUAUAACUGUUUUGAAAAUUCACAUGAGUCAAAAACUAUUUAGAGACUCCUUACACACACAUAUUAAUUAAUUAAUUUAUUUAUUUAUUGAUUAUGGUUAUGAUUUGAAAAAAAUCUGCUUAAUAAGGUCAUGGUACAAUCUCAACAGCUUUACACAACAGAUUUUAAAAAGCCACCUUUAUUAGUCUCAGAAGAUCACUAUAAAAUUAUGUUCUUACUAUACACAGAAGAGAAAAAGACUCCUUAUAGUUUAUGUCAACCUCAAAUAAUGGUGACAUAUUGUUCCACACUAUGUUGUUUUACUACGAGGAGGUUUUAGUUAACAUUGUCAAAAUAGUGAAUAGCCCUUUAAGGGUCUCCAAUGGUCAUUUCAGGUUUCUUUCCAAUAACCCAGAGCUGUGUGAAUGCAGAGGUUCUUGAGGGGUCUGAAGAAACCAGUAGUUUGCUACUCUAUCCAGUCCUUCAGCCCUUAGAGGGAUUCUAGACUACUUGUGCAGUUUCUCCAAGCCAACUGUGAGUGUCCCAUUCCUCAGCUCUGUUGAUGACUUUAAAAGCUCUUGCCAGUUUAAUUGCUUCUUUUCACCGCUAUUUAAAAGCUCAGGGCUCUUUGUUUACAGAAAAUAAAAGGACAUGAAAGAGAACUCAUUUCAUGUUAAAGCAGCCAGGGUUCUGAAUCCGACAUCCGGUCCCCAACCCAGCAGCCAUUGUUUCUGCACACUAACUAUAACAACCUCAUAGCUGUAGGAAGACGAAGUCAUUUGGAGGAGAAAUUUAUUGCUUCAAAGGCAUGAAAAUGUAAUGUCUCUCUUGAAAGAUAGAUCCAAAUGGAGGUCUGGGCACACGUUUCAGACGUGAUCUUAUUUUGUUAGCUUGUAAUGGCAGCAGUUAGCCUGCAGACUUGUGUUUUUAAACACAGAGCAAUGAACAAGCAUAAGGAGGCAAUGGCAGCUUUGCUCUAAAGCGUUCACUUGGCAAAAACCAUGGGGUCACCAUGUCCUUUAUCUGGGAAAAACAAAGGAAGUAUUAUUGAAAAACAGCAAAAUAUUGGUACUAUAAUUGAAAUUAAAUAGAAUUAAUGCUAAAAGGGUAAACAAAGCCCCAUUCUGUAGUAAGGGUGCGACCAUAUGCCUUACUCAUUUAUUCAUUACCAAAUCUCGAGUUAGACAGCCGUACUGCUUGGAUUGUCAGAAGCCAAUAAUAUACUGGUGUUUGUAUGCUACUCUUCCCCUCUUCAUUGGGAAACAUGUAUGUGUUAGAGGAUUGGACAAGGAAAAGAAUUUCCAGGAAAGAUAGUUCUGGCUGAUGAUGGUCACUGUAUCUUCAUCCUUCUUUAGAAAUUCAUCUGAGCACCGAUGACUUUGUGUACUUGUCCUUACAGAUGAUAAGAAAAUGUCUAAGUAUCACCAAGAGCAAAGGAAGUAAUUGAACAUAUUUAUAAAAACCAGUGGAUGCCAUCGCUGGAAGGUUUGAGCAGUCGAUGCUGGAACAAAUGAUGCUGAUAUUUUUUCCUGUUGCAUUUGAAGUUAGCGUUUGUAAAAAUAUUCCUAAAUCUUCAAAAUCAAUUAAGGUGCACUUUCAUAGAAGCUUAAAGUUCAAGACUCUGAGGAACAUAAGUGGAACUUCAUUUACUCAAAACUAAUGGGCCCUGAUGUGAUUGGGAUUUCAAGAAAUGCUAGUGGUGAUUCUAGGAGAACGAAGAGCUUGCAAAUGAACGUAGAGUGCUGAGGAAGAUCAGGAGCGUUUGGGAAACGGUGAGGACACUGAGAGGAGCAGCUGCCAAGUGGACGGCCUCGUCUUGCCCGAGAACGAUGCUACAGAAUCUAGCCGAGGCGGACUGCACUUGAUCACAGGACUACAGAUGGGGUUUUGAUGUAGUUCCAGAUGAAGGGGAGAUGCACACGCAAACUAAUUGGAAUAUAUUGGUAGGACCUGCAUUGUGGUUUUGACAGGAGGAGCCAGUUUUGAUGGGAUUCCUGUGGCCCCGUAGAUUUUUAUCCUGUUAUCCAAUUUUCCGCUGCACUGAUCUCCUUCUGUCAAACUGACUGCCAGCCAGCCUCCCGUUCUCCCGAGAGGAGGAACAAGGCUUUGUAUUAUAGUGGACAGAAGAAAGAGAACAAACACCCGAUUUUCUCCCUCCAAGAGCUGUGUUCCCUCAUUUAAUGGAAAAUUCCAUUGUCUGAGAGUUGAAGAGAAUGGGGAGAGGCAUAUGAGAAGACUUGAGCUUUUCAUGCAGCAGAACAAGAUAAUGUUGCAGGGCAGCUCAGACCCACAGCUGAACAGCAUACAGAUCGGGAGGCAGUGGUCCAGGAUGCCCAGGGGCACAUGAGUUGCUGAGAUGCUGUCCAAACUGGUUUGUGCUGAGUAUUCCCAGCACUGAGAAGAGAGGCUCACUGUCCCAUAAAGUGGAAGAGACAUAUAGAUGUAAAGGAAAGAGAAGGAUCACUUUCCUUGCAUCUGGGGAGGUCAUAGUGGAUGCUCCUGUGUAUGUGAUGUGCAUGUGUGCAUGUGUGUUACAUGGAGUGAUGUUUACUUAUGUAGAUCUCGGAGCAAAGAGCACAUAGAUAAAGAGAAAUGAGUACAGGAGCCGAGAUGAUAAAACUAUGGAGAAGUAAGAAACGGGGUAAGUGAUAAGCAUAGAAUACAACAAAACAAUUGCAAAAUUUCAAAGAAAAGCAGAACAUAUCAUCAAAAUAGCAAAUUACAAAGGUCUUCUAAGCACUAGACAGCCAGAGCAAGCCAUACUCUUUAGGACAUGUGUAUCUUUGAGUGUGCCUGGACCCUUUGGCUUUGAUCUUCUGGAUUAGAGAAAGAGGAAACUGUCAAGGUGUGAGGCAAUGGUAAAAGUCACGCCACUGUGUGCACUAAUUAGGUCAUUGGAGGUCUGGCACUGGACUUGCCAUAUUUAUAUAUGAUGUAGAUGAUAUAUGAUAUAUGGUAUAUAUACAUGACACAUAUAGUGAAGCCUUAUAAUUCUUUAAAAUUUAACUUAUUUCAUGCAUUUAAAAGGCAGAAAAUCCAGUAAACAUUUUUUCUUGUUACUCAUCUGAUAUGAAAAUAUGUGAAACACUAUUAUUCUUGAGAGUGCAUUCAAUGUAUGGCCAGAGCUCUGUACAUGCAAAUGCAUCAGGCAAAAUUUGAAGUGUUGAUCUGUUAAAAUUUACAGCUCCGUUCUGAAGGUAGCAGGUGCCUUAGUGACUGGGGUGUGGUUUCUGUAUAGGCUGUGAGGGCUGAGAGUGCGUGCAGAAGAAGCAUCUUCUCCUGCUUGUCUGUGCCAUUGGCGUUUGAAGGCACAGGUUGUAUAAUAGGGUGUAUUAGAGAUUUUUGAUUUUAGCUUUGGCUCCAAAGAAAAUAAAAGAGACUAAUUUACCUUUCAACAUCGAGAUGAAACAGAGAUCCUUGUCUCACAGUUGUAUCUACUUAAUUACUGCAUUAAUGGGACAGGGUCAGUGUGAUCCUGAGCCAUUAUGAUUGCACAUAUAUGCAAUUUUGUAGCAUACUGAAACUAUUUGCUUAUACCGCUAUCUUAUAGCAACUUGUGAUACUUGCUGACUACAAUGUAUCUGAACUGAUAUUUUUAAAAGGACUAAAUACAUCUCUGUGACUUACCUACUAUCUUGUCUAUAUAUACAGUUGGCAAUAUGAUGCUUUUAUUUAUGUGUGUAGUGUGAUGUUACCAAACCAUAGACUAAAAUAUCACCUCACAUGUUUAAUCAGUGGGUUCAAUGAGGACAGUUAAGAUCCCACUUCACAAUUGAUAUAUACUUCAUAUCAUGACUAGUAUAGUCACUGUGACUCUAUAGAUAGUCUCCAAAAGUUGUCCCGUGUAACUGAGAACAUCUGACUGAUGUCUCUGCUCUACACCAUCAGGCCCAAAGACCAUCAUUUCUUGCCUUUGCUCUUACAAGGUGCAGUUUGACCUGUGAUGAUUUUCAUACACGUACGUCUGCACUGAACACCCAGCUGUUGAAAACCACUCACAAUUUCCACCACUGUCAGACAUGCAUGGGUGCUGGAUAAGCAAAAGGAAUGCUAGCUUAGCAUGGAAACAUGCACUGACAUUCUACCGUCUUUGCUCUACAAAAUUAUCUGUGCAUUUUCUGUAGUUCAUGAAGAAAAGGGUAAGGCAGUAAGCAACACGGUGAGUAGAAUGGAACUCUUUUGCUCUAAAAAGCUUGCAGACAAAGGGAAGAGAAAAGAACCUAGAUGUUUCUAUUACUAUUUCUCUGAAUCUUGCAAAUAGCUGAAGAACCAUGUACGAAAGGAUAUUUUCCAUCCGUAUUCGCAGGGAUAAACUUACAGCAGGUCUCAGCCUGCACUGAUGCAUCAUUGCAAUGAAUGACCGCAAGGGCUUCAGAAAUUUCUCAUGAGGAGUUUCCUGGUUUGCAAAGUAGUUAGUAUAAAAAUUAGAACUCAAAAGCAGGCAAACCUCCUGCUGAAUCUAUCUGUGUGCUAACUAGUGUAUUUGGGACCUUAGAGAAUCCCCCUGAAAGUUUGCUGUCUUCCUGCAAUGUCCUGUUUGUUCCAUUAUGCUGUUCACCUGGCCCAGUUUGCAAUUCAUGGCUUCUAAUAACAUUUUAACAGUGCCCGGGUAACUGGCCCCUAUGGAGAAUGCUGAUGCUGUUGUUCUACUAAGUAUGAAAUGUAGCUUGUGGUUUUCUUGUAGGGGACUAAAAGAAACUCAUUACAAUUUCCUCUUCCUCUAAAUGUUGCCAAAAACAUCAUUGCUGCCCAGGUCUGUGUUUUGAAUCUAUGACUACAUGUUUAUGUUUUUAUAUCAGCGUGCUUUAUAAAUACAAUAAACUUUGUCAGAAGAACUAAACCCCAGAUCACUAACACUAUGCACUGCUACAGAAGCAGACAGGAAAGCAAGCAGACAGAUGCCUCUGUGAGGGAGCUAUUGUUACAAACGUCUAAGGGAAUUCCAUCAGUGUAGUGCUUUUUGAGCUAUCAAGGGGUGUAAAGUUUCCUUCGUAGGCUUCCGAGUACAGAGUGUAAAGCGGUUGCUCACAUGAUGGAAAGUGCAAAGUGUCUAAUGGUAGAUGCUUACUCUACAAAGCUUUACUACUUAAAGGGGGGUGACCUCGCCAACAGUACCCUGAACGAGGGGCUUCCGAAGUGCAGAAUGGUAGGUGGGUCUUAUUCUAGACCCAGCAAACCAAACCCUGUGUGCAUAGGUGAGAGCCUGGAGCACGGAGUUUCUUUACUUAUUUGAUCAGCGUGAAGAACUCUGGUCAUGAGGGGAUGCUUCAUGAAGCACUGAUGUGUUCAGAGGCUCUGUAGAUGCAGCCUGGAUUAUAAAUUUAUUCCAAUCUGCUAGAUAAAUUGUCCAUCCCCUCUUGUGACUGCUUGGUGACAAGUAUAGUGAACAAAUUUUGGUGAAAAUGAUCCAGUACACUUUAAUUGCUAUUGUAAACCUGGAAAUAGGCCAAGUCUAAUGAGAAAGCACAAUGGUUAAGGGGUGCACCGGAGGCUACAAUACCAAAACUACAAAUACCCAGAACCAGGCUAUUGGCUGUUCAUGAGUGCUACACGAGCUCUUCUUCAAAACUUAACUUUCGUUUAUUGGAUGGUUACUUUUGACAUAGACGAGUGGGACGAUGUCACCGGGGAAUGGAACAUAUGUUUUCCUGUUCUCAAAAUUCAAAACUGGCUAAAUGAAUUAAACUCAAACUUCUGCAAUAAUUCUCCUCUGGGAAGAUCAAUAUCUAUCACAUAUCACGGUGGCCACUAGAAUCAUAGAUGACUUUUGUGGACACCUAAAGUAGAUGGUUUUAAUGAGGGACACUUCCCUCUUUGCCAUUCACAGUUGAUCACAUCUGAGAGCCAGUGAUGAAUGCAGUCACUGACAUUUCUCUGUCAUGUCCCUGAUGGUGGACCUGACAGGGAAGGACGUCACUGCUUUGUGUGUUCCUCUUCUUUUUUGCUGCAUUUCUUCCAUUCUCCUUUUCUUCCUCUUCUCUUCCAAUUAUUUUAUUGAGUACCUUAUUUUUAGCUUUGCUUUGGACUUUAAAAAAACUAUUCUAAACAAACACCGAAUCUACAUCUUACCUUCUGUGGCAAAACUCCCUCUCGAUGUGUCCUGGAGGCUUUUGCCUGCUGUCAUCAUAUUUUCAGAGUAUUCACUUCCAGUUUUUAUGUUAUUUUCUCCUCCCUUAACAUUCCCGUUUCUUUGUAAAAUAGAUCAGUUACCAUGGGAACAUGCCACUGUUCUGGGUGGGGUGACCACUGAGAUUCAUAGAGGGCUCUUCGGAUAUGAGUGUGUGAAACUAAGAUUGCGUACGGUCCUUCUGACACCCUUCAUGCUGUGAUCUGAUGUGGUCUGUUUUGACUAAGGCGUCUCCAUCCCCUGGCACAGCUCUUAGACGUGUUAGUGUUUCAUCUCGGAUUAUGAUUAUGAGAAAGAUGAUAACUGUAGGGUUUUUUUUGUUUAAAUGAAAUCUAUCUUAACAACCUGAAUAAUUAAGAAGCUAGGUUAGGAAGAGAUGUGGCUCUGGCAUUAAGAUAGAUGAUGGGAGUGUCAGAUUCAGCAGCGAAUUGGCAAACUCUUCAAAUUUACAAAACGUCAUCCCAGAUGGAUAUACAUUAUUAACAUAUUUUAAAAAUUCGGUUUUGGAUCUAUCAUAGGUUGUCUGAGGAAUGAAAAGGGAUUUUUUCUCUUCUUUUCUCACUUUAUGUCAUAGAAAUAGGAAAAACAUUUUUGUUUUUCUACCCAUUCAGGUCUGAGUGAUGAGGCCAAUAAAUUACUUGUGAGCAAAUUUAGUACUAACUCCAGAAGUUUCCAGAAGUAAGAUUUUUAUAUAUUAAGUUUAACAGAAAAGGGAUCCUGGGCUGUAGUAGAGUAUGUGGAAGGGUCUGUUGGAUCCUUCCAUGCUUGUGACCGUGCUGGUCAUCUUUAUGAUUAGAACUUCCCCAGAGGGAGGGAAAUGGCUCCAGCAUGGUCAGGGGGCUCUAGGUGAGUUAGAUAAGGGAUUUUUAGAUAUGCUUUAUUUCUGCUGAUCUUUCCAUUGACUUCCCCAAACUCUCUCUUUAAUCUUGUGCUUGAAAGAGAACUCGUGUUCUGCACCUACAGUGUCAUUUAGUAAAUGUGAUUGCAGUCCAUUAAACUUAGGAAAUGUGUGCUGGUGUACACUGACAGUUUAUAUCUCUGUUUUAAGAUAUUGAAUCUAAGAGAUGGAGUUUGGGCUUUCACCUUAUCAGAUUUGAUUCCAUAGUGAUGGGGUUCAGGACAUGCCACCUCAAACAUGAGGCUUAAGCACUUCGGAAUGUUACAUUCAUCCACCUUUGGAGUUUCUACCUGUUCCUUCUCCCAGAUGAACUCAAGUUCUUGUCUCUGAGGAGUUUGAACACAGGCUGUGCUAAGAGAUGGCUCUCUCAGACCAUCCCCAUCAUCCCAAGAGCACACCCUUUGUCCAAUGUUUCUCAAUGGCUGUCUACUCUUCAUCAAAACAAAGCAGUAAAAUAAAAAGGCGUCUUAAUUUCUUUAUGGAAACCCCCACACCAUGUAAAAUUUAGAUUAAAGAGUCUGUAUGCUUUCCUCUUAUUAAUCUGUUAUUUGUGAUAUGCAUCUCACCUACUAACCUGACUAUGUGUAAAGAACAAGAUAUCACACCUGCCCAGUGACCAGCAUAGUCUCUUUAUUAAGAUGAUGACAUAAUUGUGCAUUUUAUUACCAUUAAACCAAUGUCCCACAUCUCUCCUUUCUUAAAGGAUACUUGAUAGUGCACUUAAAGGACUGACAAGGGAUUUGUAUAGACAUAAAUACAAACACAGUGAGACGGGAGAAAGCCUGGUCAGGCUCAAGCCAUCUACCCUGGGGUGCUCCUUGCUGCUUAGUGUUGUUCUCUGAUGCUUUUGAUAUUUUGGAUUCUCUCCCUGGUCUGUUCCUUGAGACAUAGCAAUAUUUUCUCCAUUAGACUACAGCUUCUCAAGAGAAAAUAUACCCCACUAAGCUUUCCUCUCAUUACCUAGAACAUAGAACAUUAGCAGCAGACCACAUUCAGGAUGAAAAAUUUAAUGAAACAAAUAUGAAAGUUGGGGAGAGAUGGGUAUUCUAAAUUCCAAAUAAACGAAGUGCUUCCAUUGUCUGCUUACAUCUAUGACUUGAGGUAUGGCAAACCCAUUUUCCCUUGCCUGUGUUUUUCUCUCACACUUGACUUUUCAUGUGGGGAGGUGAAGGUAGGCACCACAGUCACUUUAGUUUUUGUUUGUUUGUUUGUUUUGUUUUUGUUUUGUUUUUGAACGGAAAUCACUAGGGAGGUUGUGGCUAUCAUAGCAUCUUUUAUAGCUAGCUUCUCUGUGGAAUGAUUACAAAUAACGUACCUUUUAAAUGACCAUUGCAACCACCACUACUAAUUUUUACAAGUAUAUAUUCAUCAUUUAUCAAACCACAAGCCUCCAUCUUGAUAACGUACAUACACUCAGUUUUUUAGUUGUUUCCAACUUCCCUCCCCUCCCAGAAGUUUACACUUAGAAAAAAUUGAAAUGUAGAAAAACUGUUAAUAUAUCACUUGAGUGGCUCAAAGGAAAAAUGUCCCAAAGCCAUUUUCCAUGAAAGGAUGAGCUUUUCCUUAACUGAGAGUCAUGAGUGAACCUUGAGGUUGUUCCAUCAACCAAGAAAAUAGUUUGGCUAAGCACGUAGUCUACAUGCAAACGCUCUUGGUGGGUUGUUCAGUGUAAGCAGCCAGAGCCAGCACACUGUGACCUAUGAAGCAAAUUAGAACACUCUGUGUUUCAUUAGCAGUGUCACUCAUUUAAUCUUGAAAUGUAGUAAUUUUGCUUAUUUUGAAAUCAACGUUUGGGAGAGCGAGUAAAGCUAGGUAUAAUUUUAUGUUUUGUGUUGCGAACAGUUCUCCCUUAAACAUUAAAGUAAGACAGCUUCACAGGGAAUGCAGACUAUGAAAAAUCAAAGGCACACAGUAGCACCUUAGCUAUGCGUCUCUGACCAUGCGCAGUUCCGAUGCUUUUGAGGCAGAAGUGUUGAAUGGCUCCGGGAUCACAUAAAACGAAUGGUUUUACUGGCUAUUGUCUUCUAGGUGUAUUAAGCCUGUGUCCGUCAGUGUGCUUUUCUAUUUAACAAGAUGGGUUUGAGCAGUAGUGACACAAAUACUCUGGCUAUAACCAACAGCUCUUUUACUGAACUUAAGACCCAUUCAAGAAAAAAAAAGAAGCGUAUCUGGUGCUAGAAACCUAGCCAAGUGGCCAGGGCUAGUGACAUCAUGGAUCUUGGAGAAGCUGCAACUGCCACUUUAUUAACCCCGUGUAAUCCUAACUGCAUUAUAAAUAUUUGUCCUUAUGCACACAGGUAAGUGUAGUCCUCACCCCUCAUGAAGGGAAUGUUUUUUGCAACAGACAGAGGCCAUUACAUCAAACCACAACCAACCAAUGCAAUUUUGGAGCCCAACCCCAGUGGAUACCUCUACAGGACAUUUUGGAAGCGAGUGCAAAAAGACUUAAGAGGACCCGGGAGUUUCCUCUGAGACUGUGUCUAACCAGUACGGUUGCCUAAAUAUGACUUGAACAGCAACAGUACACCUUUUGAUGUGGAUGUGUGGUCCAGCGAGCACAGGAACCCUCAGCUCUAUGUAACAGCACAAAGAACUCCAGGCAACCAAGGCAAGAGAGUUCGUCUUCCUCAGCAAGGAGCACACAAAUUAGUUAUUCAAUACCGAACGAUCACUCCUGAAAACAAACAUGUAAGCAACAUUAAACAGACCGAACACUUAAUAUAUUUAGGAAUAUAUUUACAUAUACAAUAAUGAAAAAAAGUCCAUCGAUUUGAUAGAAUAAUAAAGUUUAUAUUGGGGAUUUGAAAGGAGGAAAGGGAAGUGUAAUGCAAUCUUCAAAUAAUAAAAUGGAAGUUUAAAUGAUAAUAAAAUAUUCAAAAAAAUUACAAAAGUAUUUGGGGCUGAAAAUUUUCAGAGUUGCGACAUCAUGCGCCCUUAGAAUAGAGGAAGUGAGAAACUGCAGCCUGUCUUAUUUCUUCACCAUUAUUUAGGCUGCAGUCUUGUUGGCGCCCUAUGGUGAGAAGGGCAGGAGACUGACUGCCACCCUUCCCUGCAUUUGAGCCGAGGCAGCAGGAAAAGGGGAAGGCGUGUGGUUCAAGCACAGAAACCAUGACCGAUUCUUAGGGAGUCCCACAGCAAGUGCAGACAGUCCCCAUUUGCUUUCCUUCUUUGAUAGGAGCCCCUAGAUCCCAAAUGGGGUUUUUCCAGAAUUCGCAUUCGCAGAAGUAAUUGCCUGUAGUCAGGCAACAUAUAAUGAUUUUGUUAUAGCACGCACCUUUAGUGGAGCCUGCUCUGUGUAGGAGUCACUUAAAUUGUUGCUUUCCAAAAUAACUUUAAGUUGGCAGUAGAAAGAAAAUUAAGCUAAAUGAAGCUCUGUGUCUGAAAGAGAAUUGGCAUGAUUUAAAAUCUGUGGAAGAUUUGUGUUUAAGGGAAACAAAUCAUGCCAUCUGAAGUAAGGAUCUCUUCUCUUCUCCUCACUCAAGUGCAUCCAUGCCUAUGAUUUGUAACUAUUUUUAAUUAUUUGUAUUAUUUAUUUACAUUAUCUGUGUACAUAUAGGUUAAUGUGUGUCACACAUCUGCAUGCUCUCAGAGGCCAAAAGAGGAUGUCAAAUCUACUGGAGCUGGCGUUAUAGGCAUUUGUGAGAGGCUAGACAGGGGUGCUGAGAUCUGAACACAAGGUCCUCUGGAAGAGCAGCAAACG